rnacentral:rRNA from 1 species
GACGAACGCUGGCGGCGUGCUUAACACAUGCAAGUCGAACGGGAUGAUCUUAAAGCUUGCUUUUAGAGAAUCUAGUGGCAAACGGGUGAGUAACACGUAGACAACCUGCCGAUAGGAUGGGGACAACAUUCCGAAAGGAAUGCUAAUACCGAAUGAAGCGGAGGAGAGGCAUCUCUCUUCCGUGAAAGAUGGCCUCUGAACAUGCUAUCACCUGUCGAUGGGUCUGCGUCUGAUUAGCUGGUUGGUGAGGUAACGGCUCACCAAGGCGACGAUCAGUAGCCGGUCUGAGAGGAUGAACGGCCACAUUGGGACUGAGACACGGCCCAGACUCCUACGGGAGGCAGCAGUGGGGAAUCUUCCGCAAUGGGCGCAAGCCUGACGGAGCAACGCCGCGUGAGUGAAGAAGGUCUUCGGAUCGUAAAGCUCUGUUGAUGGGGACGAACGUGCAAGGGGUGAAU